GACGAACGCUGGCGGCGUGCCUAAUACAUGCAAGUAGAACGCUGAAGAGAGGAGCUUGCUCUUCUUGGAUGAGUUGCGAACGGGUGAGUAACGCGUAGGUAACCUGCCUUGUAGCGGGGGAUAACUAUUGGAAACGAUAGCUAAUACCGCAUAACAAUGGAUGACUCAUGUCAUUUAUUUGAAAGGGGCAAAUGCUCCACUACAAGCUGGACCUGCGUUGUAUUAGCUAGUAGGGGAGGUAACGGCUCACCUAGGCGACGAUACAUAGCCGACCUGAGAGGGUGAUCGGCCACACUGGGACUGAGACACGGCCCAGACUCCUACGGGAGGCAGCAGUAGGGAAUCUUCGGCAAUGGGGGCAACCCUGACCGAGCAACGCCGCGUGAGUGAAGAAGGUUUUCGGAUCGUAAAGCUCUGUUGUAAGUCAAGAACGAGUGUGAGAGUGGAAAGUUCACACUGUGACGGUAGCUUACCAGAAAGGGACGGCUAACUACGUGCCAGCCGCCGCAGUAA
rnacentral:rRNA from 1 species